rnacentral:rRNA from 1 species
GAUGAACGCUGGCGGCGUGCCUAAUACAUGCAAGUCGAGCGAACAGACGAUGAGCUUGUUCCUCUGACGUUAGCGGCGGACGGGUGAGUAACACGUGGAUAACCUACCUAUAAGACUGGGAUAACUUCGGGAAACCGGAGAUAAUACCAGAUAAUAUAUUGAACCGCAUGGUUCAAUAGUGAAUGACGGCUUUGCUGUCACUUUUAGAUGGUUCCGCGCUGCCUUAGAUGGUUGGUAAGGUAACGGCCUACCAAGGGAACGAUGCGUAGCCGACCUGAGGGGGGGGUCGACCACAAUGGAAGUGAGACACGGGCCAGGCUCCUUAGGGAAGGAGCAGUAGGGAAACAUACGAAAUGGGGGGAAGCUUGACGGAAGAACGCCGGGUGAGUGAAAGAGGUCUUCCGAGCGGAAAAGUCUGUUAGUAGGGAAAAACAAAUGUGUAAGUAACUAUGCACGGCUUGACGGUACCUAAUAAAAAAGCCACGGCUAAAUACGUG